rnacentral:rRNA from 1 species
UACCGCAUAAAAGUCGAUAUCGCAUGAUAUUGAUUUGAAAGGUGCAAUUGCAUCACUAAGAGAUGGACCUGCGUUGUAUUAGCUAGUUGGUGAGGUAACGGCUCACCAAGGCGACGAUACAUAGCCGACCUGAGAGGGUGAUCGGCCACACUGGGACUGAGACACGGCCCAGACUCCUACGGGAGGCAGCAGUAGGGAAUCUUCGGCAAUGGGGGCAACCCUGACCGAGCAACGCCGCGUGAGUGAAGAAGGUUUUCGGAUCGUAAAGCUCUGUUGUAAGAGAAGAACGAGUGUGAGAGUGGAAAGUUCACACUGUGACGGUAACUUACCAGAAAGGGACGGCUAACUACGUGCCAGCAGCCGCGGUAAUACGUAGGUCCCGAGCGUUAUCCGGAUUUAUUGGGCGUAAAGCGAGCGCAGGCGGUUAGAUAAGUCUGAAGUUAAAGGCUGUGGCUUAACCACAGUACGCUUUGGAAACUGUUUAACUUGAGUGCAGAAGGGGAGAGUGGAAUUCCAUGUGUAGCGGUGAAAUGCGUAGAUAUAUGGAGGAACACCGGUGGCGAAAGCGGCUCUCUGGUCUGUA